AGAGUUUGAUCCUGGCUCAGAACGAACGCUGGCGGCAUGGCUAAGACAUGCAAGUCGAACGGACUAUAUGAUUGGGUAACCGAAAUUAUAGUUAGUGGCGAAAGGGUGCGGAAUGAAUAGGUAAUGUACCCCAAACUUCAGAAUAGCGUCUGGAUGCUUGCAUCCUUCCGAAAGGGGCGGUAAUACUGAAUAAUAUCACUUGAUUAAUUUUUUGUGAUCAAAGAUUUAUCGGUUUGGGAGCAGCCUAUUUCCUAUCAGCUUGUUGGUGAGGUAAUGGCUCACCAAGGCAACGACGGGUAGCGGGACUGAGAGGUUGGCCCGCCACAUUGGGACUGAGACACUGCCCAGACCCCCACGGGGGGCUGCAGUAACGAAUAUUGCACAAUGGACGAAAGUCUGAUGCAGCAAUGCCGCGUGUAGGAUGAAGCCCCUCGGGGUGUAAACUACUGUCAGGGGUUAGAAAGUGCGCUUCGGCGUAUUGAUCAGCCCCAGAGAAGCAACGCUAACUU
rnacentral:rRNA from 1 species